rnacentral:rRNA from 1 species
AUUGAACGCUGGCGGCAGGCCUAACACAUGCAAGUCGAACGAGUGGCGGACGGGUGAGUAAUGUCUGUGAAACUGCCUGCUGGAGGGGGAUCACUACUGGAAACUUUAGCUAAUACCGCAUACUAUCCUCUGUGCCCAGAUGGGAUUAGCUAGUUGGUGGGGUAACGGCUCACCAAGGCGACGAUCCCUAGAUGGUCUGAGAGGAUGACCAGCCACACUGGAAAUGAGACACGGUCCAGACUCCUACGGGAGGCAGCAGUGGUGAAUAUUGCACAAUGGGCGCAAGCCUGAUGCAGCCAUGCCGCGUGUAUGAAGAAGGCCUCUGGGUUGUAAAGUACUUUCAGCGGGGAGGCGUUACCCGCAGAAGAAGCACCGGCUAACUCCGUGCCAGCAGCCGCGGUAAUAC